rnacentral:lncRNA from 1 species
CUCCUCAAAACACAUGCAAGACCAGGAUCCAAUUUAUAUGUACAUCCUGUGUAAGGUUUCAUCAAUAUCUGUCAAGCCAUUAAGGUGGAGUUUUCCUUACAAGGCACAUGAACAGAUAGACAGACAGAUUAACAUAAUUAAAUUUACUUUAUCCUUUUAAUAUUGCACAUACCACUGUAAUUUCUCAAACUUUGAGUUUUUUAUUACAAAAUUAAUAUAUUCAUGAAAGGCACAGAAAAUUUUUGUUCUAUACAUGUAAUAAUUGUACUCUAAGAAAAAUUCUAAACUUUCGUAGGGUGCCAGUAGAGUACUCCUAUUUUUUUACAUUUUGAAGGCUUCUUUCUAGAAAAACCAACAGUAAAAUAUUAACAUUAUCUGACUGUAAGUGAAUACAAAAUAUUCAACCUUUCAAAUUACAAGACAAUAAAAACUUAUAAACAGCUUAUAAUUGAUAAUCAAUGUGUUUAACUAUUAUUAAAAAUGCUUUAACCCUUUGUCUUAGAAGGAUGGUGUUACACAUUUACUUAUUAAUUUCUUUGAACCUGUGGUUUGUUUUACUGUGAUCCUUAUGGUUAAAAAGUCAACGAGGACAUACAAUUUCUUUGCUUUUCUCUAGUUUUGACAUAGUGAUAGUAAUGGUGACCAUUUUUUGGCUGGUAUUACAAACUAAAAAAAAAAACAUUUUUGUAUCCUGAAAAAUCACCACAAUGUUUGACUGUACAUGUACAACAACUAAAAGUUAAAAGAGAACAGAUCACUAGUCUCAACUAUAGACAGAAUAUUUUUCAUAUUUUAAAACGCUAUAACUCAAAGAAUCAUUUUCAGUGGAGAAGUAGCAUAUUCCACAGUACAGUGAAGUACUGACAAUUUAAUCAAAAUCAAUCUUUUCAAUUUGCUCUGUUAUAUUUGUUUGUUGCUACAUGUAAGAUCUGAUAACAUCCCACAAGGGGUCAUGCUCAAUGAUCUUGUAGAAUCCAAUAAAAACAUUCCCUGCAUAAUUUGCAAUAUUUCUUAACUGUCAAAAAUAUUGAUGGAUGAACUGAAAUAUUUGAGAAUAUAGUCAGGGAAUUCUGUUUCCAUACCAUUUAAUAAUGAAUCCACAGUAAUCAAUAUAAAAGUUAAAUUUUGAUUUAGUAUAUUUGCAGGUAAAACAAGAAUGUGUCCAUGGUACACGGAUGCCCCACUCGCACUAUCAUUUUCCAUGUUCAGUGGACCGUAAAAUUGGGGUCACACUUUAAUUUGGCAUUUAAAUUAGAAAGAUCAUAUCAUAAGGAACAUGAGAACUAAGUUUCAAGUUGAUUAGACUACAACUUCAUCAAAAACUACCUUGACCAAAAACUUUAACCAAAAACUUUAAUCUGAACUAUGCACUAUCAUUUUCUAUGUUCAGUGGACCAUGACAUUGGGG